rnacentral:misc_RNA from 1 species
AAGUCGUAACAAGGUUUCCGUAGGUGAACCUGCGGAAGGAUCAUUACAAGUUUUUUUUUCUUACAAUUUUCCGAAGACUUUGCAAAAAGUUCAGGGGGAUUGUUUAGGAGAAAAUUACCUACCCCAUGUGUUACUUUGACAGUUUAAUCUUUGGCAAUUCCGAUCGACUUUCUGAGGCCUUUAACAGCUGAAGAAGUGUUACCACUGGCUAGACUUUGACAAUGUUUAGCGAGUGAGUUGGUUGCCAAAGUCAAACAAAUUCAUUUCUUGAAAUGAAGAAACUCUUGAAUAAUUUUAUAUUGCUAUAAACAUGUCUGACAGAUUUUAUAUAAAAAAUCAAAACUUUCAACAACGGAUCUCUUGGUUCUG